UACUCAAAUCAGAAUGUUUGACCAAAAUUGUCCUCUCCAUUACUAUCUUCUAAGUGAAGAAUUGAACCAUCGAAUCGAACGAGAAAGUUGAUUGAAAAUAGAAGAACUAAUGGCGAUGAUGUAAGAACAAGAAGAUUCGAUCCAUCAACUACCGAACGCGAUCACGAUAAGUUCAUUCGGCCACUAAGUAUCAUCUUAGGAUUGAAAUAAGAAAAGUAUGAGUGGGAACAGAUGUUCAAAAAUUGUAGAACUAUAAUUUUUUUGUUCAUUACAACGAUAUUAAGAUGUUAACCACAUUGCAACUGCGAGGGUUGUGUAGGAGAGUGAGAUAGUGUGCGCGGGAAACGGCGGAGAAACCAUGCGCAACCGAAGAUGAAGUACUCAUUAUACUAGAAAAUCUUCCAAAUCAUCUUAUUUCUGUUUUUCAUUUUGUUUAGAGUUCUGCAGGCAUGAUGCGCACCGAUAGCGGUCGAGGAAGCUCAUCGAGGCAACCGGAAGGUGCAGAGAUUGUUUAUUCGAAAGAAAAUGUAACGAUUCAGCCUACGUAGUUUGCGUCUGAAAGGAUUCGUGGAAGAUUGAGGUUGAUCAAGCGAGAAUCGUCUCUGUUCAUUACCUGGAUUCCUUACGAAGGACAAAACUCAAAUGCGAAAUUAUCGGUGAGAGAGAAUUCGAAUACGGAAAGGUUAUGCAUCUAUGGGAGGUGUUGUGGACUCAUUAUCUGUCUGAGCACCUGCAUCUAUACAUUUGUGUUACGAUCUUGAAGCGCUACCGUAACAAAAUAAUGGAGGAGCAGAUGGACUUCGACACGCUCUUGAAGUUUAUCAAUGAGUUGAAUGGUCACAUUGACCUUGACGCUGCCAUCAGGGAUGCAGAAGCUUUAUUGUGCGUGUGCAGGGGAGAAUGUUGCUGCUAACAUCCCUCCUGGUACCCCAUCCUCAUUACCACUGG